rnacentral:rRNA from 1 species
AAGCUCGUAGUUGAAAUUGUGUCCUGCGGCGUUUGUCUACCGAUUGCGGUACGACAGGCGCGUCUGCGGGGCUUCUCGCCGGUGCGUCUUUCGGUCGUCCGAUAAAACGCUCGCGCGUCGUUCGCGUCGCGCGGGUGCGGACCGAUCGGAGUCGUCGCGGCUUUUUACUUUGAACAAAUUAGAGUGCUCAAAGCGGGCUGUUUUUCGCCUGAAUAUUGUACGCAUGGAAUAAUAGAAUAGGACCUCGGUUCUGUUUUGUUGGCUUUCUGACACCAGAGGUAAUGAUUAAUAGGGACAACUGGGGGCAUUCGUAUUGCGACGUUAGAGGUGAAAUUCUUGGAUCGUCGCAAGACGGACUAAAGCGAAAGCAUUUGCCAAAGGUGUUUUCAUUAAUCAAGAACGAAAGUUAGAGGUUCGAAGGCGAUUAGAUACCGCUGUAGUUCUAACCAUAAAUGAUGCCAGCCAGCGAUCCGCCGAAGUAUCAAAAUUUAAUUACUCGGUGGGCAGCUCUCGGGAAACCAA